rnacentral:tRNA from 2 species
GGGGCCAUAGCUCAGCUGGGAGAGUGCCUGCCUUGCACGCAGGAGGUCAGCGGUUCGAUCCCGCUUGGCUCCACCA